UGGUUGAGUGGUAAAGCGCUUGGCUUCUGAACCAGGACAUCCAGGUUUGAUUCCUGG
rnacentral:tRNA from 1 species